UACGUAGGUGGCGAGCGUUGUUCGGAUUUACUGGGCGUAAAGAGCGCGCAGGCGGCUGGUCAAGUCCGAUGUGAAAGCUCCCGGCUUAACUGGGAAAUUGCAUCGGAAACUGAUCGGCUGGAAGGUGGGAGAGGGUAGCGGAAUUCCCGGUGUAGUGGUGAAAUGCGUAGAUAUCGGGAGGAACACCAGUGGCGAAAGCGGCUACCUGGCCCAUUCUUGACGCUGAGGCGCGAAAGCUAGGGGAGCAAACGGG
rnacentral:rRNA from 1 species